GAUCCUGGCUCAGAUUGAACGCUGGCGGCAGGCUUAACACAUGCAAGUCGAACGGUAACAUAAAGAAGCUUGCUUCUUUGAUGACGAGUGGCGGACGGGUGAGUAAUGCUUGGGAAUCUAGCUUAUGGAGGGGGAUAACUACGGGAAACUGUAGCUAAUACCGCGUAGUAUCGAGAGAUGAAAGUGUGGGACCUUCGGGCCACAUGCCAUAGGAUGAGCCCAAGUGGGAUUAGGUAGUUUGGG
rnacentral:rRNA from 1 species